GGACAAAAUUUGCAAUUUACUCUUACUAUUAUAAGUUGUUUUACUACCACUACAAAGGCCAAAAAAAGAAAAAAAAAUAAUAAAGCAAAAUAAAGCAUCAUACAUAUUUUUGCUUGUAUAUAAACCAACAAACCGUGUUACCCUACUACCUCCAUUUCACCAUCAAUUUUCACUCGCAAUUCAAUCACAAUGUCUCUGCCUCCCAAAAGAGGAAAGAUCACUGAUCAAGUGUUCACCGAAUUUCACCGUGACAUUGCUUCUGCAGCCACCAAAGUUCUAAACGCUUUUGGUAACAACGCUAUAACUACCAGAGGCAACGGCAACAGUGGUCGUGGAGAUGCCGGUGGUUGUGGACUCUUCGGAUCUCCGAAUGCCAACAAUGGUCCGUGAUCUAUGAAUAUUAGUUUUUAACGGAUAUAUUAUGAAGAAUAAUUGAAUAUGAUGGUGAAGAAUGAUCUGCUUGUGGGCUUGUAGCGUACGGACUGUGUAACUUGUGUGGUCAUGGUUUUUGGAAUUUGCUAAUUUUCGGAACUACGAAUAUGUGUAAUUUUCUUUGCUUCUAUA